AACAGCAUGGUGCAGUGGUUUGAGUGUUGGACUAGGACCCCAAGAGACCAGGGUUCAAAUCCCUGUUCAGCCA